GGGGCUUGGGCGGGGCCGAACUCGACUUGGGAGGCCCGGUCGGCUUGCCGCUUUGGUCCCGCGCCGCGGCCUUCGUCCAUCUCCUCGCAGCGGUCUGUACCUGGGUGGAAGGCUGAGGUGCAGGCAGUCAUGGCGCUGCGUGCUGCCGUGUUCGACCUGGACGGGGUCCUGGCGCUGCCCUCGCUCGCCAGCUCCUGGGACCGUGCGGAGGAGGAGCUGGCGCUGCCCAGUGGCUUUCUGAAUGGAGCUUUCGUGAAAGGAGGCCCAGAUGGUUCCAGCGCCCGCAUGAUGAAGGGAGAGAUCACAUUUUCCCAGUGGAUGCCAUUCAUGGAAGAAAACUGCAGGAAAUGUUCUGAGGACUCUGGAAUCUGCCUCCCUGAGAAUUUCUCUAUAAAUCAGAUCUUUGGCAAGGCGCUUGCAGCAAGAAAGGUCAACGACCCCAUGCUUAAGGCAGCUCUCACUCUCAAAAAGAAGGGAUUUACAACCUGCAUCCUCACCAACAUCUGGCUGGAUGACAGCACCCAGAGAGGCAGCCUGGCCCAGACGAUGUGUGAGCUCAGGCCGCACUUCGAUUUCCUGAUUGAGUCAUGCAGGAUCGGAAUGGCCAAGCCUGACCCUCAGAUCUACAAGUUCGUGCUGGACGUCUUGAAGGCCAGCCCCAAUGAGGUGGUUUUCUUGGAUGACUUCGAAGUUAAUCUGAAGCCGGCCCGUGACCUGGGGAUGGUCACCAUCCUCGUGCGUGACACUGACACUGCCCUGAGGGAGCUGGAGAAAGUAACCGGGGUGCAGCUUCUCCAAACUGCAGCCCCCCGACCAAUCCCCUGCGAUCCAAGCACCGUGAGCCAUGGGUACGUGCCCAUAAAGCCUGGGAUGUGUCUGCAUUUUGUGGAGCUGGGCUCUGGCCCUGCCGUAUGCCUCUGCCACGGAUUUCCGGAGAGCUGGUUCUCUUGGAGGUACCAGAUCCCUGCUCUGGCCCAGGCGGGCUUCCGGGUACUAGCGGUGGACAUGAAAGGCUACGGAGAGUCAUCUGCUCCUUCUGAAAUAGAAGAAUAUUCCAUGGAAGUGUUAUGCAACGACAUGGUCACCUUCCUGGAUAAGUUGGGCAUCGCUCAAGCUGUGUUCAUUGGCCACGACUGGGGUGGCAUGCUGGUGUGGAAUAUGGCUCUUUUCUACCCCAAGAGAGUGAGGGCAGUGGCCAGCUUGAAUACUCCCUUCAUACCGGCAAAUCCCAAAGUGUCCCCAAUGGAGAGAAUCAAAGCCAAUCCUGCCUUUGAUUACCAGCUCUACUUCCAGGAACCAGGAGUGGCGGAGGUUGAACUGGAACAGAACCUGAAUCGGACUUUCAGAAGCUUCUUCAGAGCAAGUGAUGAGACUUUUCUCACCACGAACAGAGUCUGUGAAAUGGGAGGACUCUUUGUGAGUACGCCAGGGGAGCCCAGCCUCAGCAAGAUGGUCACCGAGGAGGACAUCCAGUUCUACGUUCAGCAGUUCAAGAAGUCUGGUUUCAGUGGUGACCUCUGUGAGGAUCAGAUGACAGCUCUGAGUUCUUACUUCAGAAAAACACAAAAACCCCACGUCACCUCAAAAACUGCAUACAUAUUCGGUGGGGGGGCGGUGGUUAUAGGCUCAGCUUUACUGAGCUCUAACUCACAUACCGUAGAAUUCGCCCUCUGAGAGUGUACAGUUCAAUGGUUUUUAGUCAUUUCACGGAGCUGCGCCGUCACGACACAUUUUAUGGAUCGCCACGAUCCGUUUUAAAGUGUUUUCAUCUCCCAGAAAGCAGCUCUGUUCCCUUUCGCGGUCACUCCCACUUCCCCGGGGCCCCCAGGUCUGAUCACUCAACCAUCUGCUCUCCGUCCCCCUGGAGCUGCCUAUUCCAGAUGUUUCAUGCGAACGGAGUCGUACGCUGUGUGGUCCUUCGUGUGUGGCUCCUUUCACUCUGGUCCGCCCGUGUUGUAGUCCCUGGCAGACUUCGCUCCUUUUUCUCAGGUCUGUUUCUAUGCUGCGGUUCAGGGCCCUGCCCUGAGAUCCCUGAGAGUCCCUCUUAACAGCCCCUUUUCUGCGUGUCCCUUCACGUAUUUGGCUAUUGCAAAUCCUCGAAGCUCGGGAGUCCUUCAGGGGCGCUGCAGGUCACCGCGUUUCCAUCUUCCUCCUCUCUCCUCACGCCCCCAUCCCUCACUCAGACCCAGGGGCGCAGAAGGAGCCCAACAGCAGGACCGCCUUCGUCAGCCCAGCCCACAAGUUCACAGUGUGGCGACCUUGGCCGUGAACACCCGUGGUGGCCUUUAGACCCCAGUGUCUCCAUCUCCUUUCUUCCCCCCUCCCCACCCGAAGUGGGGGACAAUUUAAGAGUCUUAGACUGGGGGACAGAGGUUCUCUGGAAGGGAACGUAUAGGCAAUCCGAUCCGACCCCUCCUUGCACAGGAGGGAAAAUCAGAAGUCCCCAAAGGGCACGUGACGUGUCCAAGGUCUCUCCGGGCCCUCCCUUUCACAGGAAGCCUCAAGGGCUGGACAGCACCACCCCAUUCCACACCUGAGGAUUGGGACAGUGCUCCGGGUACAGCCCUGGAGCCACCCUACCUGUCCGGAGGAGACACCUCGGCAUCACUUCCCGAUGUCACAUUAGGAGGAAGCACCUCCCGGUGGCCCUUUUCUGCGGGCUCCCUGGGACAGGGGAGUGGCCCGGGUUGGUGAGGGCACUAAACCAGGCUCCCCCACCCCCGUCUUCCGAGACAGUCCCGGGAGAAAAUGGAGAGUCCUGUGGGGCCGAUUUCUGUGUGUCCCCGGAUGCCCACUUCAGAGAACAUCAGCCCUCGGCCCAGCGCUGUGCCUGAGCCAGGCCGUGCUCGAUAAAGCCCGGCAGGCACGCAGGGCACCGGCGUGUGAAUCCUGGGCUCUGUUCUCUUCGCCCUGCAGGAGCCUUUGCUCUUCCUGGGAAGACUGGCUCUAUGCCGAGCGGGUUGCUGGUGGGGUCUGUAGCACAAGCGUCUACUAAAAGCUUUCCUCCUUUUACUCCUUCGCCCGCCCCUCCCAGGGGACCUCUAAACUGGUACCGAAACAUGGAAAGGAACUGGCAGUGGGGCUGCAAAGGCUUGGGAAGGAAGAUCCUGGUGCCGGCCCUGAUGGUCACCGCGGAGAAGGACUUCGUGCUCGUUCCUGAGAUGUCCAAGCAUAUGGAGGACUG